ACGAACGCUGGCGGCGUGCUUAACACAUGCAAGUCGAACGGUGAAGCGCCUUCCUUUUUGGUGGGUGUGGAUGAGUGGCGAACGGGUGAGUAACACGUGAGUAACCUGCCCCCUUCUUCUGGAUAACCGCAUGAAAGUGUGGCUAAUACGGGAUAUUCUGGGUCUGUCGCAUGAUGGGUCUGGGAAAGAUAUUGUUUCGGUGGGGGAUGGGCUCGCGGCCUAUCAGCUUGUUGGUGGGGUGAUGGCCUACCAAGGCGGUGACGGGUAGCCGGCCUGAGAGGGUGGACGGUCACACUGGGACUGAGACACGGCCGAGACUCCUACGGGAGGCAGCAGUGGGGAAUAUUGCACAAUGGGCGCAAGCCUGAUGCAGCGACGCCGCGUGAGGGAUGGAGGCCUUCGGGUUGUGAACCUCUUUCGCCAGUGAAGCAGGCCUGCCUCGUUUGUGGGUGGGUUGACGGUAGCUGGAUAAGAAGCGCCGGCUAACUACGUG
rnacentral:rRNA from 1 species